rnacentral:rRNA from 1 species
ACAGGGUGACAGGUGGUGCAUGGGUUGUCGUCAGCUCGUGUCGUGAGAUGUUGGGUUAAGUCCCGCAACGAGCGCAACCCUCGCCUCUAGUUGCCAGCAUUCGGUUGGGCACUCUAGAGGGACUGCCGGCGACAAGUCGGAGGAAGGUGGGGAUGACGUCAAAUCAUCAUGCCCCUUAUGACCUGGGCUACACACGUGCUACAAUGGGCGGUACAAAGGGCUGCGAACCCGCGAGGGGGAGCGAAUCCCAAAAAGCCGCUCUCAGUUCGGAUUGCAGGCUGCAACUCGCCUGCAUGAAGCCGGAAUCGCUAGUAAUCGCGGAUCAGCAUGCCGCGGUGAAUACGUUCCCGGGCCUU